UAAUAAUAAAAGCCCAAGCCUUUUUAUUUACC
rnacentral:tRNA from 1 species